ACGGGGGGAGCAAGCGUUGUUCGGAUUUACUGGGCGUAAAGGGCGCGUAGGCGGCCACUGCAAGUCGACUGUGAAAUCUCCGGGCUUAACUCGGAAAGGUCAGCCGAUACUGCGGGGCUAGAGUGCAGAAGGGGCAACUGGAAUUCUCGGUGUAGCGGUGAAAUGCGUAGAUAUCGGGAGGAACACCCGCGGUGUAGACGGCCUGCUGGACCAUGACUGACGCUGAGGCACGAAAGCGUGGGGAGCAAACAGGA
rnacentral:rRNA from 1 species